ensembl:lncRNA
AGGGAACUGAACGUGUCUAUGGCACUAAUGGGUCUAUGAAACUAUCUGGCCUAAUGCUAAUGCAUCUAUUGUCUUAACAGGUCUAUGCUGCUAAAGAGUCUAUGGCACUAACAGGGCUAUCACAGCAGUAAGACUAGUUGUUGGGACAUUCUCUCGAAAGAGGCCCUGAAUAUUCUGUAAUAACUCUCACUAGGACGAAGCAAUCGGAACGCACCAACCUUCAACGUCCUCCCCAGUAUAUGGACCUUUGGACAAGCAAGGAUGCCCCUGUGUUGAAGUGAUGAGGUAUUCAACAACCCUCCCACCACCACCACCACCACCACCAAAGGAAUAUGCUUUA